AGGAGAAACGUCUUGAUGGACCCCAAAAUGGAAUUGAAGAUGGAAAAGUUGGGUUUGGAACAGCCCGCCCUUGAAUUUGAGGAGAAAAAUGCCAAUUUGAGCUUAAGAGAAACAUCUCAAUGGACCUCAACAUGGAACUGAGGAUGGAAAAACCUCUUAAAAACACCAUUUUUGGGCAAAAAGUUCCAUCGGUUGAGUAUCCGGGCGGUUGGAGGAAGAUUGCCCCACAACGUCAGACUCGCGCUCCUCCCGGCGCCCCGAAACCCCCGCGUUUGACCCCAAAACACCGCCCCACCUUUGACCAAGACCUCCACGGCCUCGCUGAGGAAGGAGAGGAUCCAGCGGCCCUCGACGCCCUCCUCGAAGCCGCAGCUGAAGGUCCCACCGAAGCCCCUCGGGGUCUGCGGGAUGAGGAGCUCCGAGGACCCCCCCGCGGUGGUCCCGGGGGCGUUUUUGGGGUCCGGGGGGCUCCUCGGGAUCUCGACCCCGUUCCUGUAGAAGUGGAAGCGGAGCCCGGGGGCGGCCGCGGGGGCCAGGCAGGUGAGUCGCAGCGGGUCGCCCUCGCUCAGCUCCGUGAAGGGGGGCUCCACGUCCAGGCGGGGGGCCGAGGGGGGCUCUGAAAACGAGGAAAAACGGGGAAAAAGGAUUAAAAUUUAGGCAGGGUGGAGCCGGAGUGAAAUUCGGGGAGGAAACUGCCGAUUUGAGGUCGGGAGAAACGUCUUGGUGGGCCUCAGCGUGGGAUUGAAGAUGGAAAAGUUGGGUUUGGAACAGCCCGCCAUUGAUUUUGGGAAGAAAACGGCCAAUUUGAGGUCGGGAGGAACGUCUUGGUGGACCCCAAAAUGGAAUUGAAGAUGGAAAAGUUGGGUUUGGAACAUCAAGAAUUAAAUUUGAGGAGGAAAAUGGCAAUUUAAGGUGAAGAGGAACGUCUUGAUGGACGUCAACGUGGAAUUGAAGAUGGCGAAUUUGGGUUUGAAUCAUCAAGAAUUCAGUUUGAGGAGGAAAAUGGCAAUUUAAGGUCAGGAGGAACGUCUUGAUGGACCCCAAAAUGGAAUUGAAGAUGGAAAAGUUGGGUUUGGAACAGCCCGCCCUUGAAUUUGGGGAGAAAACGGCCAAUUUGAGGUCGGGAGAAUCGUCUUGAUGGACGUCAACGGGGAAUUGAAGAUGGAAAAUUUGGGUUUUCAACAAUCCAAAAUUCAAUUUGAGGAGGAAAAUGGCAAUUUAAGGUCAGGAGAAACGUCUUGAUGGACCUCAACGGGGAAUCGAAGAUGGAAAAUUUGGGUUUUCAACAAU
rnacentral:lncRNA from 1 species